rnacentral:lncRNA from 1 species
UUUUCUAAUCCAUCACAGACGUUGCCACUCUCUCUCACCCCUUUCCUCUUCUAUGUCAACUUUCAAAUUCCUUUCAGCCAUGACCAGGCUAUGCCCACUCCAUUUGAGGCAAAGAUCGUCCUUCUCUAUCUUUUCUUUGGCGCAUUCGCUGAGAAAAAGGCAUCUCUUUUCAGAACUUGACCAAUUCUCAUCUCAACGUUCGGAUUCAAACGGACUCUGACUCGAUUUUGAAUCCUUAAUCAAGAAAUCCCGCUUAAAAUCACCUACCCUAACCUUCCUCUAUAAAUAUUUAUCUUUUACUCUCAGCCGAGAGAGAGGUGACAGAGCACGAAAAAGACCACAAAAACUCUAAAUUUCUAAGGUGGAACACCCUCAGACACAGCCGCCUACACACACAUGAACCAGCAAAACACUACUACUCUGUCAUUCUCACUACUGUUAUAGUCUCUCAAACUUGCAAGAGUCUCUUAGAAAUAAAACCUUUUCUUUUCUGUCUCGGUGAACUUUGGCCAUGACAGAGGUAUUCGAACUUGUUCGGCUCGAGGUUCGGAUCUAUUCGUAACGAGAGAGUAGAUUCGAGAUCGAUGCCCUGAGUUCACUGCCCCACAACAGGUAAAAUCCGACCAUGUUUUGAUUUUUCUCAUUCAUUUAAAAACAGUGUGUUUGCCUAGAAAAUCAUGUCUUAGCUUUUCUCUGUUUUAGUCAUAUUGAAGUGUGCUAGCAAAAUAGUAAUAAUGAUGAAAUCAUGUAUUAAGACCUUUUAUGUUCAGAUCUGUCUCUUCAAAAUUUCAUGAUUGAAUCGUGACACUAGUUGUUAUCUUGUACUUUCAAAGCCUCUACUGAUAAUACUUGAAUAGAAGCCAUGCCUUAAGGAUUAAAAUUUAGUUGUUGUUCAGGUAGUAAAAAUCAUGACAUUAGGACCUAUAUGGACUUUACAUGAAAGGACUCUUGUUUAGUGUGCAAUACUUUCAUCAGCAUAUAUACAUACACACAUGGCUAUUUGAAUGGGUAAGAAUCAUAAUAUUAGAGCUAAUUAAUAUGUCCAGAAAUCAUGUUGUAUGAUUACUAAUUAGCGAAAUCAUGCUUUAGGAGAAUAUGUAUCCUCUUAUUGUAUUCUUUUGCUCUACUUUCUGCUUAAGUGAUAAAAGUACGACUUUUAUGCUUAUUCCAAAGUUUAGAUGUCAUGCCCAUAGGGUUUUUAAAAUGUUUAUUUCAAAUAGACUCUAGCUAUAUGAGAUUACAUGUUAUCUUGUGAACAUCAUGCCUUCGUGUUUCUAUUUAAGAUUGGCAACUAAAUGCUAGCAUCUCUGUUAAUUUAAUGGUAACCUUUUAAAAAGGUGUAAAAUAUGCUUGUCUGUUCAUGUAUGUUUGGUUCAACGAUAUAGAAUUAUUUCAGGCCUUACUUAAAACAAGGGAUCUAAUCAUUUAUUUCUAACUUGGAACAUUACUUGAGAAUAUGUUUAUGUUAAUAUGAGUUGGUCAUGUCUAAAUGCAAGAAAGCUACUCAAUUUCAAGUCUAUAAAUUUUGCUCUUUUCCUACUUCGUUUAUUUUACUUUUUUAGCUUGUUAGAACAGUAGAUGCUCUCUAAUUCAUUUACUUUCUUUGACUUGCAUGAACACCGGAGCCGAAGAGUUUCACGAUGAAACUCAACGAUGCUCUUGAAACUUCCUUUCUGUUUCAUCUAUUUACUCAUUCAUUGUGCGAUUAACUAAUUUUAUCCUUUAGUUGUGUUAUUAACUAGUUUUAUCCUUUAGCUGUGUGAUUGGUCGUUAAGAUCUAAAUUUACUAUAUAGUCAUAGUCAAGUCUUUUAAUGGUGAAGAUUUUAUUUUAUUUUGUAAUGAAAGUAUUCAUUUAUCACAUAAUACUUACGCCUAAUUGAAACUCUUCUGGAAUCACGACAUGCGUCAAAUACUAAGUGUUAAGUCUGCUAAGUUAUUAUAAAAUCAACUAUGGCUUUAAAACUUUUUCUUUCCGCUCUACCAACUUUGUGAAAUUGACAACUCUGCUUUAUAUGAUUUUUUUAGGAACUGAAACUAGUGGUAUUUCUAGCACAUAGAAGCUGUCAUCUUUGUUUUCUUUCCCUGUUUCAAAUAUUCAAGAUGGCAUUGUUUUCUUUACUUUCUUUAAAGACAUCUUGAACUCAUAGUUACUUGUUUGAUGUUUCAAGUUUGGAGUUAACAGGUUAAGAAAGAUCGGCUUUGGGACACUAUCGGAACGAGAGCUCAUUGCUAGUUUAGGAAAUCAUUUUCUCAAAUCUUAAUUAAGAAUUUAAGUGCAUUGCUGAUCGAGUGCAAACUUAACAUUGCAAUACAUAGGAAUUGACUUAUUUUACAAACAUCUAGUCAAUUCUUUAACCCUUUUAGGAAUUAAUAUAUUCUUUUUAUUUUACAUUACAAUACAUAGCCUUAAUUAAAUUUUAGUCCGGAGGGUCAACCAUUUAAUAUGGAUCUUAAAGGGUGCCUUAAGAACCUUCCCUUUAGAUUAAUUGAACCCUUACCUAGAGCCUUUAGGUUAAGUAGACCAUUAACAGAGUUAAUACUUUAUUAAAUUACUUUAAUCACUUUAGUUGUCCUAAUUCACCUUAGAAAUAAUUAGGUGGCGACUCUCUUAAUUAAUUAACCUCGGAAUUACCAAUAUGUUAUACACUAAUUUGACUCGUGUUAAAAUGGGGGAUAACAAUAAUCCCUCAGGCUUCUUUGUGAUGAAAGGGAAGACGAGUUGGCACACUUGCGGCAUGAGGCUAGUCGCAGUCUGAACUACGAAAGCUACCUCGAGGAGCAGGUAACUUCUAUUCGAAGGGUUUGCGUGUUUCUUUUUCUAUCUUCUAAGGCUAAUGUUUCGUUUACUUCAGCUGCAGAAAAAAACAGAAGACCUGGCAUGCCUUAGGAACAAAGUUGGUUAAGCCAAGCGUGAGUGCGAUGAGCUAAGGGCUCGGGUGGAUACCCAAAUAUCGGCUAAGAAAGAUUCUUUGGCCAAGGCUUCCGCCUUCGAAGUGCAACUUCAUAACGCUAAUGAGAACAGCUUGGUCCGAACGGACAUGAUUCCAAGACUUGAGUCUGAGCUCCUGAAGAUGAAGGCCGAAGUUGUGGAUGCUCGGUCUGAAGCCGAAAUAAUUCGAGCUAAGGCUGAUAAGAAGGUGGCUGCCUAUCUGAAGGAGGCUGCCGAUGCUCGUGCUGAGCUAAGAGGGUCUCUCGACCAGGGGAGUAGGAAUAGUAUACGAGGUGCAAAUUUCGUAGGGAAACCCUCGAGGCAAUUCAUGUCAGGGGCUUCGAUCUCUCGGAAGAGAUAAAGCAGGCGAAGGCAGAAGAAUAUGAUGCUAAGUUUCAUCUGUCUGAUGCCGAAGAUGGUGAGGAAGAAGUUGAUGGACUAUAGUCCCCGAGGGGGACGUAGAUUAGCUUAGGCCUUUCCUUUCUUGUUUUGCGUAGAGUGCUUUCAAAGAACUGUAAAUAAAGCUUGUAUUUUUUCGCAUAUAUGUAUAAAAAGGAAACCUCGUGGCUUUAUUUUACAUACAUUCCCCUUUGCCUUGAUUUUAGCUAGAUGGACUGGUCUUGGAGUUAAAAGGAAUCCAUAGAUCCAUAAAUAUGCACUUGGUUGGCAUGACCUUUUAGUGUAAGCCGGCGUUUGAGCUCUUAUGCUUUUGCUCUUAGGCAUAUUUAGUUAACUAUUUUGGGUUUAGUCUCUGAGUCGGGUAUCGACUCGAGCUCAUUCGACCCUCAAGUUUUUGAAUUUAAGGUUGGCUCUUACGCGUUGGGUCGGUACGACCUCUUAUAUGGGCUAGCGAUAGUCUCUUACGUACUGACCUCUUAUAUAGGUUUUAUUUUUUACUCGUUAAGGACUUUUUGAAAUUUUGUUUGCCCGACUCUUCGACAGUUUGAUAAAAACCUCGAUUGUGAGUUGUUAUAUGGAGAUGAUCGAGCACCCCGGGAGGUUUGGCUCAGCGGCUAAGUAUCUUGAAGCCUUAUACUUUGGAGCUUACAUGGUCGAAGCUCUUUUGCCUAUGUCGAGGUUAGCCUGUUUAACAGGUUCUUUUCGAAGUAAUUGAAGGCUUAUGUUUUUAUAGCGAUAGUCGGGCGUCCUCGAGUCGUGUUAGUUUGGAUGGUACAACUUUGUGAUUGUAGUCAUUUGUGUUUGGCCGGAGCCUUUCAGUCCCCGAGUGAAAUAGUUUCGGCGUCUUACAAGUUUUUCAUGCAUUUGAGGUCUUACAGUUUUUGGCUACUUGGUACAAGUGUGGUUCAUGCCUUGCUUGAGGUCUUACUGAUAUUGUCAUUGCCUUAUGUAGGUCUUACGAGACCGAGGCUACCCGCAUGUGGUCUUGUGGCUUCAGCUUUUGAUAAGUCGAUGGGGGUGGCGAUUGGCUGCAGUCCCCAAGACAUCGAGGGUUUCUCGUCUCGGGAGCCAUUACUUGUAAACUUGGUAUUGCCUCAUUGAGGGCUUACGAUUUUAAGAUUUCUAACCUGGAGGUCAUGUGGCCUUGAGUUUUCGAUGCCAGUCCCCGAGUGUUCGGGACGUUUUCGGCUCUGGAGCCAUUUUGUGAUCUUGAUGUUGCCUCAUUGAUGGUUUAUGAGUUUGAAGCUCCAACCCGGGGGUCAAGCGGCUUUGAGUUAUUGACGCCAGUCCCCAAGUAUUCAGGACGUUUUCGGCUCUAGAGCCAUUUUUUGCAAAAGACACCGAGCUUCUUUGAAACACUAAAUGCUUUGAUGAAGGGGAAAAUGUUCUUUGAUUACUUGGUACAAGUAUACACAUUUUUGCUGUUACAGCUUGGUUGUUCUACAUGGUUCAUUCGACCGUUUGGCCCGGUACAUUAUUUUCCUAUCCUCAUUUAAUGCAUCUUGGCUUCUUCGAGUAGGUGACCUUCCGGGGGGAUGCCCCCCCGUAUUCGAGUGCAACACAUGCUUUUGAAACCUAAGGCCUUCGAGCUGGGAAACGCUUCGGCCGUUUCAAUCGGAUACUUGCAUUCAGGUUAGUAUAAAAUGUAACUGAAAAAGGGAGAUAGCCAUACCUUAGUGUUGACGAUGCUUCGGAUCUCGAUGUGAUUCAAUCGCUUGUUUUGAGGACUCGGUAUGUAUAGUCCUUUAUUUUGUUUAGUCGGGGGUAGCUGAGAGUGUAGCUUGUUAUUGCUAUUUUACUGUUUGCUUAUCCUUUAGCUCCUUCGAAGGUUGAGGUACUGGUGUCGUUGCCACGUCGUGUAGUGCGAACAUCUCCCUUGCUACAUGUUGCUCCCCGUACACGGUUUUUAUUCCAUCCUUUGUUGAAAACUUCAUCAUUUGAUCAAGGGUUGAUGAUACUGCUCUCAUGCAGUGUAUCCAUGGCCUUCCAAGCAAGACAUUAUAUCUUAUGUCUCCUUCGAUGAUAUGGAAUUUGGCAUUUUGGAUUGUGCCAACCACGUUGACUGGGAGGGUGAUUUCCCUUUUCGUUGUUUUGCUUGCCAUGUUGAAUCCCUUGAGGCGGGCACGAUUUGGUCAAGCAGUCCGAGCUGCUCUACCACCCUCGACCUGAUAAUAUUGGCCGAGCUACCUGGAUCCACAAGUACACGUUUAAUUUGAAAUGUAUUUAUAAGGAAAGAGAUUACCAGUGCGUCGUUGUGAGGCUGAGACAAGGUCUCGAUGUCCUCGUCGCUGAAUGUGAGAGCAUCCUCGGUUAUGUAACUCCGAGUUCGCUUUUCUCUGGUGAUGAAUAUUUUUGUUCUUCUGAUCAUGGGUCCUUGUGGGGCAUCGAUGCCUCCUAAGAUCAUGUGGAUGACAUGUUGUUGCUCAUUUGUUUUGUUUUUCUUGGUCGCCUCUCUUUCCCGGAACUGAUUUUUGGCCCGGUCAUUGAGGAAUUCUCGGAGAUGACCUUUGCUGAGUAGUCGGGCUACUUCUUCUCGGAGUUGGUGGGAAUCCUCGGUCUUGUGACCGUGCAUGUUGUGAAAUUCACACACUAAGUUAUGGUUCCUUUACGAAGGAUCUGAUUGUACAGGUCUCGGCCACCUGGCGUCUCUAAUCUUACUGAUGGCAAACACGAUAUCUGAAAUAUCGAUGUUGAAGUUGUAUUCCGAUAAGCGGGGUGCUUCUGCUGGCCCUGCAUGCCUAUUGAACUUGGCUCUGUUGACGAGUCCCCGAGGGUUCUGCCCUCGAUUCGUUCUUCGAUCAUUAUGGGAUAUGUUACGCCUCGGGGCGUUUCUCCUAUCUUCGAUGUAUGGCUGGUACCUUUCUUUGUUUGGCUUUGGCUCCUUCGCCAAAAGCCUGCUUGGGUAUACCGAGCCCGAUGGGGCUCCUAAUUGGUUGUCUUCGACCCUAAUCUUUGAUUGGUAUCGGUUGUGAACGUCCAACCAAGUCACGGCGGGGUAUUCAACCAAAUUUUGUAUUAGAUGUUUCGAAGCCAUCAAACUUCAUUCAUUCAGACCUUGAGUGAAGGCCUGCACUUCCCAGUCGUUGGAGACUGGUGGUAGUUCCAUUUGAAAGCGAGAUACGAACUCUCGUCACAUCUCAUUCUCCCUUUGCAUGAUCUUGAAGACGUCAGAUUUCCUUGUUGCUAAUUUGAUGGCAUCGACAUGUGCCUUUAUGAAAGAAUCUGCCAGCAUGACAAAUGAGUCUUUAGAGUUAGGAGCUAGGUUGUGAUACCACAUCAUGACCCCUUUCGAGAAUGUUUCCCCGAACUUCUUUAGCAGGACGGACUCGAUCUCGUCGUCCCUUAGGUCGUUGCCCUACACUGCACAAGUGUAGGCAGUGACGUGCUCGUUGGGGUCCGGGGUUCCGUUGUACUUCGGAAGUUCGAUCAUUUUGAACUUCUUUGGGGGCCGCUUCCUGUGGGAACGACUUUUGCACAAAUUUCUUCGAAUCUACACCUUUCAGAAUCGGGGGUGCGCCUGGAAUUUGAUCGACCCUGAAAUUGUAGGUCUCUAACUUCUUGUCGUUGGCAUCUAUCUUCUUCUUGCCCGACUCGAUCCUCUUUGUGAGAUCCUCGAGCAUCUUUACAAUGGCGGGUCAGUUGCCGACUAGUUGUUGCUUGAUCUUUCUAGUACCUGUUGGGUCCGAGGGGCUGUUCCCGAGGCCGCUGUACUUGGGGUUUUUUGGUGGCUCUGCAGCUGAGCAAUAGCCAGCUAUUGUGCCUGUAACAUUUCAAAAAUAACGUGAAGUCUAACCUCCCGUUCUUCCCUAGUUGGGGUUUUCUGAGCUUCUUGUUGGUCUCCUUGGUGCACGCUCAUGUUAGUGUGGGAGCUUAUAUCGACGUGUUGGGCGUCGCAUGAGACCGCGUCCACGAGAAUUGGUUCUGGUGCAUUCUCGGGUUUCGUAGUGGUACACUAACACCUGGAACAUCCACACCAUUCUCUCCAUGGUCCUCAAGAUUGUUGUUUACUGAGUUAGACAUUUGGACCUGAAAUCAAAGAUCUUUGAUAAGAAAAAGUGUGAAAGGUAACUUGCGUUAUGUAGUAAACCAGCAAGAAAACAAUUACUAUUAUUUUUAGCCCCACGGUGGGCGCCAAACUUUUACCGUGAAAAUGGUAAUAACAAUUAAAUUUGAUUUUGUGGUUAUAAAAAUACGUGAUCUAUUUUUAUGCUAGUUGUUUAGGCAAUGGAUGCUAAGUAAAAGAUUAUAAAGCAAGAUUAUAACUCAAAAAACGAUAUGAUAGUCAAACCAAACAGCUGGAGAUCUGGGCCUCGAGCUAGCAUAUAUGGGCCCUCGAGGUUGAAUCGAAUGGCCGACUUAGAGAGAUCGAGGGAGGAAUAACGGUGAUGAGAGCUACGAUGAUGGCUCUUCAAUGAUAAGCAAUAAAUGGUGAACAAUAAAUAUAACACAAUGAAUAUAAGAAAUAAAUGGAAGUAAUGAGAUCAAGAAAAUAUGUUAGAGAGGAGAGAGAAUGUUCUUGUGUAUUCAAUAUUGAGCAUCAGAUGGUUACAAAAUGACAAGGAUCCUCUUUAUAUAUAAGGGGGAAUCCCAAUAUAGUUCAAAUACAUUUAUUACAAAGAUAUGGAGCUGGUACUGCCAGUCAAUGCCAUGAUGCAGGCUUAGGCUAGACUGACAGACUUUGUCGGCUCUAACUACGCGCCUUGGGAACUUCCCACUUCUUCAUCACAACCGCUGAUCUAUACUGCCCCGAAGUCGGGCGUUGAUAGCCCUCGGGGGUGACUCUCAACCAUAGCCUCGAGCCUUUGAAAACAUGCCGACGAGGCAUCGCAAUGACGGAAAAUUGGAUCCUCUGAUUUUACCGCAUACACAAUGAACACUUACCAAGGGCAGAUCUAUCUUAUAGGAUCGGGGUGGUACGCCACCUACACGCUGCGGCAAAAAUUCUAAAUAAAUCUGUUGAUUUCUAUGAAAAAUGAGUGUUAUAUACAAAGGGGACCCGGAUUACAGAAACUCUAUGUGGGUGCCAUGUUUUGUUGGUUUUGAAGCCUCUCGUUAACCGUACGUGUCUGGGUUCAAUUCCCUGUGGCAGCACUUCUCCGUUUCUUUUGUUUUAAAAUCUUUUUCCUACUUAUUAACCCUAAAUUUCGUUUAUUCACUACUAGGCCUUGGGUCCUCAUCUCUUCUUCCUUUUCUUUUCCUCCUCUUUCUUUUUAUAGUUUUUUCUUCCUUUUUUUUGCUACUAAAUCCUCCAUUUUUUUUAAUUUCUUUACAUUAGCCUUUAUUUUGUUUCCUACUAUUAUAUUAUUUUAUAAGCAAUUUCUUUCGAUGCAUAAUUUUGAAAUUCUAAGUAAUAUAUAGUUUCUCUUUUUAGUAAUACAAUAUUAGUAAUUUACAUAUUGGAGUAUAAUUUGAACAAUAUCAUUUUGUUGGUUUUUGAAAUAAAUUCUUGACUUAAAUUAAUCCGAAAAUGUGAAUGUAUUUUUUUAGAUUUCUUCCUUCAAUGGUUUUUGGUUGUCUUGUCUAAUCUCUUUAUUUCUUUUUCGUCGAUAUUUUCUUCGAGUUUGCUAACUCAAUGGUAGAGUACUCGACUUUUAAGUGCGGCUAGUCUCUUUUACACAUAAGGAUGAAGUGAGGGAUUCGUUCAUACUUUCGGUAAAAUCUGGAAGACCAGACUGGUUCUGAAAGGGAAUGAAUGGUAAAAAUAGCAUGUCAAAUCAACGGAAAGCGUUUUUAUUUUAUGUUAUACCACCUUGUUGGACUAAAAAAAAAGAAGCUUUCGAGUAUUUUACAAUGCAUUUUUAUGUUAUAAUUUUAGUGGUUUUGACGAACCGUAUCUCUAUCAAAACUCCUCCAGCAAAAGAAAAGAUAGAACUUAAUUCUGUAAUUUAGUUAUUUAAAUGAACCCUCGUUUCUGAAUCUCAUAAAAUUGGAAUCCCCCAGGAAAAAAGAUCAACACUCUAAUUUGUUCUUACUUCCCAAAUAGAUCUUCCUACAUCUAUAUAUAAAUACUGGUUUAUCAAGAAUACGCAAGAAAAUCAAUUCGAAUUGUUGAUUAAUCGUCAGAGAUGACUUAGAACCAACAGUUCAUUAUCUAAUAUACUACUAGAAAUUCGGUAAUUAGCGACCACAAAAAUCGACCAAUGUUGGUCUGUUUUGGCAAAUUACCGACUAAAAUGUGUCCAAACACGCUUGGUCGCUAUUUUGGUGGUCGUUUUAGUAUACCAACAAAGGUUGGUCGCUAAUUACCGACCAAUGUUGGUCACAAAGGUAAAAGGACCAAGGUUGGUCGAAAAAAAAAACCAAAGUUGGUCGGUAUUUUAGUUAUGUAAUUAAAUGAUUCACCAUCUAGGAAUCGAACCGUGGUGUGUACUAUGACAUGUUAUUAUUCUACCACUAAACCAUUGGUGCAUUUUGUCUUAAGAUUGUCUUAUUUUUUAUUUAUACUCUUUAAUUGUAUUUUCACACGAAAAUAACCGACCAAAGUUGGUCGGUUUUAUUAAAAAUAAAAUUACCGACCAAAGUUGGUCGGUUUUUUAAAAUGACCGGCCGAAUUUACUGACCAAAGUUGGUCAGUUUUUUAAUAUUAAUUUUUAUUUAUUUUAAUUGCAAAAACCGACCAAAGUUGGUCGGUUUCUUGAAAAAUAAAUUUCGCGGGACUCAAAAAUAGUUUCUCGCAUUUUGCGCCAAAUUUGUAAAAAAAAAUUAAAAAUUAAAAUAUUUUGAAAAAUCGACCAACUUUGAUCGAUUUUUGGCCGAUUUUUUGACCGAUCAAAGUUGGUCGGUUUUUACUGAAUUUCUAGUAGUGAAUGGAUCUUUUCGUUCUAAUACUCUAUCCGUGAGUUAUCGGUAUUUAUCAAAUAUGUUCCUAUCUAACAGAGCGUUAUUGGAUCAAUUGACAAAGAUAUUGUUGAGAAAAAGAUGGGUUUUCCCUGGUAAAAUUAAAAUUGGAUUCAUGUAACAGGAGAAAGAUUUUUCAUUCCUUAACUGAAAAGAUAUGUGGUCAUGAAAGAGGGAUUAAGUGGAACAGAAUUGACUGGGUGGUAGAGUCGUGGAAACACUUGUUUCUUCCAUAUUUUGGACCUUAGCUACAUGGAAGAAUAUGUUACUGCUGAAAUAUGGAAGCUCCUUAAAAGUUUAACUAUAUUCAUCAUUAAAAGUUAUUUACACAAAAUGUAGAAUUUAAUUUAAUAUACAAAGUUUACUAACCAUCAACAGAUCUCACAUCCUAUAUGUGUUAACCUAUUUGACUGUCUAAGGUGCAUAUUAUUACGACCACCCACAGUAUUAGAGUCAUCUCCAUACCGCUUCCUCUUAAUAAGACGUGUUUCUCUUUUAUUUGCAUUGAUUUGAGUGGAGUUCUUCCUGACCACUCACACUACCCUGAGUAUAGCAUCUGGGUCAUCGGGAUUAUAGGGAGCAUCAGAAUUAUCAGGAUCAACGGGAUGCUCGACCAGAUCGCUAGCCGGUUCUACAGAAGAGACCGCAUGUGCUGAAGUAAAUUACAAAAUUUUAUAUUAAAAUAAGUUUCUUUUACUAAUAUUGAACUGAUACCGAACAAACUACUAAAUACUACUCCCUCCGUCCCAAUUUAUGUAAACCUAUUUUCUUUUUGGUCCGUUCCAAAAAGAAUGACCCUUUUUUAAAUUUGGAAAUAAUUUAGCUUAAACUUAUAAUUCUACGAUUAAUGAGAAGCUUUUAUAACCAUACAAAUACUCUGGGUCCCUUUUUAACUUGUUUAGGACCUCAAAUUCCAAAAGUCUUUAUUUUUUCUUAACUUCGUGUCCAGUCAAAUAAGUUCACAUAAAUUGAAAUAGAGGGAGUAUCAUACUCCAACCGGUAUCUCAAUGGGCCUCUAAACGGGCUCCUUAUAGGAUGCUUAGGGGGUCUCCUAAAUGGAUCACACUCAUGAAUGACUGUGAUAUUUUUGGCAAACGAAUAUCCUAAUCUACUGACACUGUCGUAUGUAUCGUAGGAAGCUAAAAAAUAAUUGUAUACGGUCGAAAUCAGGUAUGCCCGAUUUUGUAGGCUCGAAGAGCCGCUUCAAGAAUAAGUUCAAAAUGGAUCGGGCUCGAGCCCGACGACAAAGUACAAGACUUGAAGAUCGAAGUGCUCGAUGAACACCGAGAUCGAGUAUGACCAACCUCAAGAUAAUACCAUUAUGGUUUUAUAACAGAAAGAGCGAGAUUUCCGCAGCGGCCCUAAGAUCACGAUGCAAAUUCCGGAACGGAUUUGUACUAGGCAGUUAGACAUCUGUCCAAUAGUAUUCCCUACUAAAUAUGGAAAUGUACCUUAUUUAGGAUUCCCCUAUUAUAUAAAGGGGAGCCCAUUCAUUUGUAACAUUAUACAUUCGUCAUUUUCUUGCUUACUAUUCAUCUGAGGUGCCUUAUAAUUUAUUAUUCUCACUGACCCACCUCGAGAAUGCCAUAGCUCGAGAUCGAGACUUGCUUGCACACUGAUUCGACUUACUUUAUCCGUUAAUUUAUACAUUUGAUUCUUUGUUUAUCAAUUGGUAUUGAACUAAAUCACAUAUCUUUAAGACCACAAUAUAAGUUUAAUUGUUACUUGGAUUCUAUGGUAAACAGUUUGUUGCCCACCAUAGGGCUAAGGAUAAUAGUGAUUGUUUCAGUAUGAAUAACACACGUUAUUUUCACACUUGUUCUUAUCAAGAAUUUUCGUUCUCAGGUACAUGUCAAACUCACAAAAUCCACCCGUGUAUGGCGAUGAUGG